ACUUCUCAUCUGCAGUCCAAGAAUUUUUCCGUCGCUUUUAAUAAAAAUUUUAUUUUCAGACGUUCAUACUAAAAUUUUAUACUACAAAAUAAUUAAUACUAUUAAAAUUUUUAUAUGAUAUAGCCGAUCAUUAAUUUAAAAUUUUCGUCGUUCAGAAAAUAAAAGAAAAAACAAAAACAAAAGUAAAAUGAAAACACAGAAAAAGACAAACUCAGCUAAAAUUAUGAAGCAACUAUACCUGAAUUUUGACUUUAGGAGUAGUAGGAAUAGUCACCUUUUACCUCGCCUUUUGGGUUACUCUUCGGUACAAUCCAGUCGGUGUGGUUUUUCGUUUUCUUCUUUUCUGUCCUUUGUUUUGUUUGUUUUCUUUCCUGGUUCCUCGCCCGCUUAGAAGGCCCUAGCUGCCUUCAUUUUGUACGCUAAAUUCAUUUUUCUUAAUGAAUGAAGCAGGUAGCUUGCUACCUUUCUCUCAAAAAAAAAAACUAUACCUGAAUUUUAAACUUCGUAUACUAACCAUCGGAUUCUAAAUAAACUGUAUU
rnacentral:lncRNA from 1 species